CUGUUCCUGCAGGAAACAAAAAAAAAUAAAUCUGUGAGGUGAGCUUUGCCCUGGAAAUCAGAGGCAAGACUUCAAUGAACUUGCUGUGAUGGGAGAGUCUGCUCAGUUGCAACAUGCAAGAAACAAGAACCUAAUGAUGAAUCAAACAUGCAACUCUGGGAAGAAGCUGUGGCUCGUCUCCAAAAACUCGAGCGCAGUUGCAACAGUACAGAGAAAUGGCAUAUAAAGCUGGGUUGUGUUCAGUCCUAUGGAGGAAGAACUAAAGUGCUACGUUUGGAGACACUGGUGCAGAAGCGGCAAAACUUGCCACCCCCACCCACCCCCAUGACCUGGAUGUUGGGGAGCUGGAGUUGACCAUGAACCCAUCAGGAGAUGCAAUGUAUUCUAGGGUGCAGGAUAGACCGAAAUGCCAUGUGCCAUCCCAAAGAACCCUUGUAAAUUAAAAUGAUUUGUUUCACACACGUCUCAUUCCAAAACGCCGACGAUAAACUUACCAGUAAAAUUUCCUCAGUUGACUAUUUCGUAUUCAGGCAGUUUACUGAUUACACAA